GGGCCCGUACAAGCGGUGGAGUAUGUGGUUUAAUUCGAUGCAACGCGAAGAACCUUACCAGGGUUUGACAUCCUGCGAAUCUCUUGGAAACAGGAGAGUGCCUUCGGGAACGCAGUGACAGGUGGUGCAUGGCUGUCGUCAGCUCGUGUCGUGAGAUGUUGGUUAAGUCCCGCAACGAGCGCAACCCACGUCUUUAGUUGCCAGCAUUUAGUUGGGCACUCUAGAGAGACCGCCGGUGAUAAACCGGAGGAAGGUGUGGAUGACGUCAAGUCAUCAUGCCCCUUACAUCCUGGGCUACACACGUACUACAAUGCUACGGACAAAGGGCAGCAAACUCGCGAGAGC
rnacentral:rRNA from 1 species